rnacentral:sRNA from 1 species
UAUUAAAUAAAGACCUCCUAACUUUAUUUAAUAAAAUCCUAAACUUUUCUUUUUCAUAAUAAUCUCCCUUAACUCCACCCAAUCAGGUGGAGUUUUUU